rnacentral:miRNA from 1 species
UGUGGAGGAGGACAGAGAGGUU